GGAGGGUGCGAGCGUUGUUCGGAAUUACUGGGCGUAAAGCGCGUGUAGGCGGCCUUGCAAGUCAGGCGUGAAAGCCCUCGGCUUAAUCGGGGAAGUGCGUCUGAAACUGCUUGGCUUGAGUACGGGAGAGGGAGGCGGAAUUCCCAGUGUAGAGGUGAAAUUCGUAGAUAUUGGGAGGAACACCGGUGGCGAAAGCGGCCUCCUGGACCGAUACUGACGCUGAGACGCGAAAGCGUGGGGAGCAAACAGGAUUAGAUACCCUGGUAGUCCACGCGGUAAACGGUGAACACUAGGUGUGGGAGGUGUAAUACCUUCUGUGCCGAAGCUAACGCGUUAAGUGUUCCGCCUGGGAAGUACGGCCGCAAGGUUG
rnacentral:rRNA from 1 species